GGGCCGGUAGUUCAGCCUGGAAGAAUGCCGCUCUCGCAAAGCGGUGGACCCGGGUUCGAAUCCCGGCCGGUCCA
rnacentral:tRNA from 1 species